rnacentral:rRNA from 1 species
GUGGGGAAUAUUGGACAAUGGGCGCAAGCCUGAUCCAGCCAUACCGCGUGGGUGAAGAAGGCCUUCGGGUUGUAAAGCCCUUUUGUUGGGAAAGAAAUCCUGUCGGUUAAUACCUGGCGGGGAUGACGGUACCCAAAGAAUAAGCACCGGCUAACUUCGUGCCAGCAGCCGCGGUAAUACGAAGGGUGCAAGUGUUACUCGGAAUUACUGGGCGUAAAGCGUGCGUAGGUGGUGGUUUAAGUCCGUUGUGAAAGCCCUGGGCUCAACCUGGGAAUUGCAGUGGAUACUGGAUCACUAGAGUGUGGUAGAGGGAUGCGGAAUUUCUGGUGUAGCAGUGAAAUGCGUAGAGAUCAGAAGGAACAUCCGUGGCGAAGGCGGCAUCCUGGGCCAACACUGACACUGAGGCACGAAAGCGUGGGGAGCAAACAGGAUUAGAUACCCGAGUAGUCC